AUUGAACGCUGGCGGCAUGCCUUACACAUGCAAGUCGAACGGCAGCACGGGAGCAAUCCUGGUGGCGAGUGGCGAACGGGUGAGUAAAGUAUCGGAACGUGCCCAGUCGUGGGGGAUAACGUAGCGAAAGUUACGCUAAUACCGCAUACGAUCUAUGGAUGAAAGCGGGGGAUCGAAAGACCUCGCGCGAUUGGAGCGGCCGAUAUCAGAGUAGGUAGUUGGCGGGGUAAAGGCUCACCAAGCCGACGAUCUGUAGCUGGUCUGAGAGGACGACCAGCCACACUGGGACUGAGACACGGCCCAGACUCCUACGGGAGGCAGCAGUGGGGAAUUUUGGACAAUGGGCGCAAGCCUGAUCCAGCCAUGCCGCGUGCAGGAUGAAGGCCUUCGGGUUGUAAACUGCUUUUGUACGGAACGAAAAGGUUUGACUUAAUACGUUGGACUCAUGACGGUACCGUAAGAAUAAGCACCGGCUAACUACGUGCCAGCCGCCGCGGUAA
rnacentral:rRNA from 1 species